GAUGAACGCUGGCGGCGUGCCUAAUACAUGCAAGUCGAGCGAACAGACGAGGAGCUUGCUCCUCUGACGUUAGCGGCGGACGGGUGAGUAACACGUGGAUAACCUACCUAUAAGACUGGGAUAACUUCGGGAAACCGGAGCUAAUACCGGAUAAUAUAUUGAACCGCAUGGUUCAAUAGUGAAAGACGGUUUUGCUGUCACUUAUAGAUGGAUCCGCGCCGCAUUAGCUAGUUGGUAAGGUAACGGCUUACCAAGGCGACGAUGCGUAGCCGACCUGAGAGGGUGAUCGGCCACACUGGAACUAGGACACGGUCCAGACUCCUACGGGAGGCAGCAGUAGGGAAUCUUCCGCAAUGGGCGAAAGCCUGACGGAGCAACGCCGCGUGAGUGAUGAAGGUCUUCGGAUCGUAAAACUCUGUUAUUAGGGAAGAACAAAUGUGUAAGUAACUAUGCACGUCUUGACGGUACCUAAGCAGAAAGCCACGGCUAACUACGU
rnacentral:rRNA from 1 species